GAGGCGGGAAGGACGACCCGAGGGAACCACCUACCGACCCAGCGGCGGGGGUUGUGGUGGAGGGGCUCCUGAGAGAGUGUGGAUUUAGAGGAGUCUUCGGGAAGCUGGGGCAGCUCAAGGAUUGCGUAUGCGAAAAGCUCUACACAGGACAACUCAGAAGAGACAUUUGCUGCCAUCGUAAUUCACUGUGGAAAUACUGCUGCCGCCGACGCAGCUGUCCCCUGCCCGCAGACGCCUUGCUUGUACCUGGCUUGAGACCUGUUCGGAGAUUGCUCCCUCCAGCUUUGGGAGGGCAGUGGGCUGGGUGAGCUCCAGGGUGUGGACCAAGCCUGAGCUCUGGUGACAGCUUGGUGUGGCAAGAAGAAGGGACCUGGCAAAGAGCGUCUCACUGGAAGGCCAAGUUUGAAAUGCCAUUUGUGAAACAAUUGCCAAUAGUCACCAUCUCUAUCCCCUUCCCCCCAAGCAUGAAUUUGGGAAGCUCAGCCUGGAUUCCCAGGAUGGAGAGGCUCAUGGGAUGAGUGUCUCCUCUAGCCCUGGGAAACUGACGACCCUCUGGAGCAGCUGGGCAUAAGCCCCUUUCCCAGUUCCUGAGCUGUCCAGAAAAAAAUGCUCAGGUUUUUCACGUCGUGGCGGAGUGGAAACGAAUCUGACUGGGGACCAUGGGGUUGUGGGUUUAAUCCCU